AGGGGUUCAGAUGACAAACAUGUAAGUAGAAGUGUCCAACUUUAAAACUGACAUAAUAUAGGGGUUCAGAAGAGCAUUUUGCCUUAAUUAAUUACAAUGCAUAGUCUCUCUUGCCAAGUAAAUACAAUUCAUAGCCUCCUUUAUUUUCUCCCUUAAUUUUUUCUCUUUCUCUAUCUUUUAUUUCUCCUUCUUUUUUUUUUAUUUUUCAG
rnacentral:lncRNA from 1 species